AACAACUUUCUCUGUUGGUCCCACAAGGAGCAGGAGAUGGAGACUUUUGUGCCUAAGUGGAAAAGGGAAAGUCCAAUUUUCCUUCAGAAUGUCAUUAGAGUCACAACUUUUCUCUUGGUAUUGCUUGGAAACUGUUCAGCAAGAUUUAUGAGCUUUUUUCCACCAUCAACAUCAUCCUUAAAGGAGCAAUGCUAACUAACUCCCUGGGAAUUGGGGGUGUGUGUGAGUUAACAAGAGAGGCACCCUAGGGAAUGAGAUGGAAAAUCCCAUGGAAUAUUCCACCUCAACAGUGAAUGGGCAUUUGGAUUGUUCCCAGUGUGACUCCA